UACGUAGGGUGCGAGCGUUAAUCGGAAUUACUGGGCGUAAAGCGUGCGCAGGCGGUUCGCCAAGUCAGGUGUGAAAGCCCCGGGCUCAACCUGGGAACCGCGCUUGAGACUGGCAUGCUCGAGUUCGGGAGAGGAUGGUGGAAUUCCCAGUGUAGAGGUGAAAUUCGUAGAUAUUGGGAAGAACACCGAUGGCGAAGGCAGCCAUCUGGACCGACACUGACGCUGAGGCGCGAAAGCCAGGGGAGCAAACGGG
rnacentral:rRNA from 1 species